UUUUUUUUUUUUUCCUUUUUCUUUAGAGCUGCACCUGAACCACAUUGAAAUUUCCAGGCUAGGGAUUGAAUCAGAGCUGCAACUGCCAGCUUACACCACAGCCACAGCAAUGUGGGAUCCCUAACCUACCGAGAGAGGCCAGGGAUCAAAUCUGCCCCCCCCAUGGAUACUAGUUGGGUUUGUAACAUGCUGAACCACAAUGGGAACUCCAGUAAUAGAGGGUUUUUAUGUCGCUUUAGAAAAGAGAAGUAUCCUGCAAUGUUAUCUCACAGAAGUCAAAGACACAUAAGGUUUAAUCUGAGUUUAGGAUCAGGUGUUACACACUAUUAAAUAGUUAUGGUUUCAAUUAAAGAAAUAUUUGAGUGAAUUUUUUUAAGAAAACAGUGAUUUAAAAAAAAAAGCAAAGUUACAUGAACAUUCUGUCAAGCUCUUUUAUAUGAUAUAUGUCAUUUAGUACAUAAAAUAUCAUACAUAAAUCAAUUUAAAAUUGCAUGGUGCACACCACCUUAGCUCAUAAUCAAGGUUAAUAUCAAGAAUGAUACAUCACAUUGGUAGCAUAUAAUCUUGAUAUGAUUUGCUAGGAUUGCCACAUUAUAUCUGUGGUCUUCCUUCCAAAAUACACAACCCAGUCUAAAAAUGAGAAAAAAAAUCAGACAAAUCCCAGUUGAGAGACAUUCUACAAAAUACCUGAUUAUUAAAGGCUUCUCAAAACCAUCAAAAACAAGGAAUGUUUGAGAAACUGUUGCAACCUAAAAUGUGAUGACUAAAUGUAAUACCAUAUCCUGCAUGGGAUCCUAGAAUAGAAAAAAAGAUAUCAGGGGAAAAAUUAAGGAAAUCUCAAUAAAGUAUGUAAAGUUAAUAAUAAUAGAUUAAGGAGUUCCCACUGUGGCUCAGUAGGUUAAGAAUCCAAUACAGGAGUUCCUGUUGUGGCACAGCGGUAACUAACCUGACUAGUAUCCAUGAAGACAUGGGUUCAAUCCCUGGUCUCGCUCAGUGGGUUGAGGAUCCAGCGUUGCUGUGAGUUGUGGUAUAGGUUGCAGAUGUGGCUUGGAUCUGGUGGUGUUGUGGCUGUGGUGUAAACUGAUAGGUACAGCUAGCUCCUAUUUGACCCCUAGCCUGGUAACCUCCAUAUGCUGCAAGUGUAGCCCUAAAAAAAAAAAGAACCCAACAUAGUAUCUGUGAGGAUGUAGGUUCGAUCCCUGGCCUCACUUACUGCAUUAAGGAUCCAGCAUUGCUGCAAGCUGUGGCAUAGGUCAUAGAUGUGGCUCAGAUCCCAAGAUGCUGCAGCUCUGUGGCUGUGACUUGCAGCUGCAGCUCUGAUUUGACCACUAGCCCAGGAAAUUCCAUAUGCUGCAAGUAUGACCAAAAAAGAAAAAAAAAUUAAUAUUGGUUUACAAGAUGUGACAAUGUACUGUACUGAUGUGGAUUAAUAAUGUAAUGUAAUAAUGUAAUUGAUUAAUAAUAAGGGAAACCAGGUGUGGCAUAAACUGGAACUCUCUGUACUCUCUAAUUUUUUUGGUAAAUCUAGAGCUAUUCUAAAGUAAGCUUCUUAAGAAAUGAAUUAGCUAGUAGCAGGAAUUUUAUUUUAAAUGCUGCAAAUAACCAACUUGAUUGAUUAUAUUUUUGUUUAGGGGAGUAUUUAUUGAUUUGUUCCUAUUUUGUUAUUGAAUACUUUGGAUGUUUUGAUAAAAAUUUCAAUAACACCUGGUCAUUUAGGGUGACAUUGAUUAACCUGCUAAAUUUAGCUAUUGAGGAAAGUCCAGGUGUCUGCUGAAGUGUUUUUCUUUUCCCCAGUUUUAUAGGUUCAGCUCCAUCCAAGGAACUCCACAUUAAAACCCUUCAAAAUGAAGAACACUUUGACCUGAUUCUGUCAGCCCAGCCUCAACUGUAUUUUAGCUCCUGCGUUCCCGACAGAAAAACGCAGUUUCCAGACAGUUCUAAGGCCCCACAUAUCUCUUUGUGAUUCUACAAAAGCUCUGCUUCCAUUUUCUCAUGUUCUUUAAGUCUUUCUCUUUCUAAGGUCCAAUCCUCGUCAGCAACCAGGUAAGUUCUUGCUCAGGCUUAAUGAAAUUCCAGACUAUAUAAUGCCCAUUUUGGAAAACCUAAAUAUAUCUAAAUUUAUAACCAGUGUCAGGAUGAGAAAAUUAAACUACCAAACAUCCUGAAUUCAAAGCAAGGUUGUUUCAAAUUCAUAUUCUAAAGGACACUGCAUUCAGAUCUAAAUAUAUGAGAUGUUCUUUUACUUCUUGCAUUAAUUUGAAAGAGCAAAAUAUUUUCAAGAGAGUACCUUGUGCAAACUACUUGGAAGCCUUUAAAAAUUUUUUUUAUUAUAGUUGAUUUACCAUGUUCUGUCAAUUCCUGCUAUAACUUAGAAGCCUUUUGCUCUGACAAGUUUUUUUAUGUGGUGAUGGUUCUCAAUACUCCUCCAGAAAAUGUAUUUUUUGUUGUAAUUACAUUCACUAAUGAGGAAUUUAUUUAAGUAUCAGCAUAGGGUUUUUCCACUUGGCACCAUUGAUAUUUUGGGCUGGCUCAUCCUUUGUUGUGGGGGACUGUCCCGUGCAUGGUAGGAUAUCUAGCAGCACUGCUGGCCUCUAGCCACAGGAUGCCAGCAGCACCCACUCUACAGCUAUGACAGCCUAAAGUGUCUCCAGACAUUGUCAAAUCACCUCCAGUUGAAGACCGCUGCUGUAGUGCAAUGAUCAAAAUUCAGUUUUAUUUAAACUGUUGAAAUAUUUCAUUUGACUUGGCUUUGUGUGUGUGUGUGUCUUUUUUUUUUUUAAGGGCCACACCCUCAGCUUAUGGAAGUUCCCAGGCUAGGGGUCAAGUCAGAGGUGUAGCUGCUGGCAUAUACCACAGCCACA
rnacentral:lncRNA from 1 species